ACAUGCCUACAACACAGUGUUAAUGCACCGGAUCCCAUUAGAGCUCUGCAGUUAAGCAUUCUUAGGAUAGAGUAGCACUGGUAUGGGUGACCGCCUGGGAAUUCCUAGUGUUUUACAUGCC
rnacentral:rRNA from 1 species